rnacentral:rRNA from 1 species
GACGAACGCUGGCGGCGUGCCUAAUACAUGCAAGUCGAACGCAGUGGGGACGGGUGAGUAACACGUGGGUAACCUCCCAUCAGAGGGGAUAACACUUGGAAACAGGUGCUAAACCGAUACUGAUGGAUGAACCCGCGGUGCAUUAGCUAGUUGGUGGGGUAACGGCUCACCAAGGCCACGAUGCAUACCCGGCCUGAGAGGGUGACCAGCCACACUGGAACUGAGACACGGCCCAGACUCCUACGGGAGGCAGCAGUAGGGAAUAUUCGGCAAUGGACGAAAGUCUGACCGAGCAACGCCGCGUGAGUGAAGAAGGUUUUCGGAUCGUAAAACUCUGUUGUUAGAGAAGCGGUAUCUAACCAGAAAGCCACGGCUAACUCCGUGCCAGCAGCCGCGGUAAUUC